rnacentral:lncRNA from 1 species
GUUAAAAAAAAAAAAAAAAAAAAAAAAAAAAAAAAACUUAGAGCAUUUCGUUGUGCAUACAAUCAAUGCAUGUUAUAUAUGUAUGUCAUUUAUGUUUGUAUGUGUACCAUAUAUGCAUAAUUUAUGCAGUAGUUUAUGCAGUAAUUUUUUGUUUCUGUUUCUUUUUCUUUUUUUUUAACUAAACGAAUAUACUUAAUAACAAACAAAACAUUCUCAAUUAAAAGUGACGAGCAAUAUACUAACUGCCAUGCAUACAUAUGCGCGUAUUUGUAACAUCCCUACCUAUGCCUGCCCGCUAUAUAUAAGCCAAUAGCCAAUAGCCAAGCCAAUAGCCAACAACAGCAAACAGCAAAUAGCAAACAGCAAAUAGCAAACAGCAAACAACAAACUAACUGAUAUGCAACCCCCUUGUAAAUGUAUUUUUUUAUUUUUCUUAAUUGGAAUAUACCUUGGCGACAUAUACACGGCACACAAAACCUGCACCGCAAAUAAGAACUUUUUUUCACAAACAAAAAAACACACAUUUCUUUUUUUACAUUAUAAGCAUGGUCCCAGUUAUUUUCUCCAAGAGCAACAGGUAACUACCUCACCACAUGAUCGUGUUUUAAAAAGGUAUGCGAUAAAUAAACGCACAACAAAUAACAACACGAGCAAAUAUAGGUUGUGUUCUUCUUUAAACGACUAUAUAUAUAAAUUGUUAAUAAAAAAAUUUAAAAAAGUAAAAAAAGAAAAAGAAACAUACAUUUAUAAACAAGAUCUAUCAGCUAAAUAUCCAUAUACAUUUGAUCUGUUAUUUUCGUCUAACUAUCCUAUUACAACUAUCAAAUCGAAAUUAAUAGAAUAUCAAACUGAACUAAAAUUAAUAAACGCAGAACACUUUAAAAUUGUUUAUCUUGGAAAAAAAAAAUUAGUUAGACCAAUUAAAAAGCAAACAGAAGCUUACUACAUAACAUUAUCACUUUAUAUUUACCCUUCUGUUAUAAAACAAGUCUCAGAGAAAUUGCGUCAGCAGGACCACAUAUUAAGAUUUAUAAUAAUAAAAAAUAAAAAUAAAACAGACUAUAUUCCGUUUAGUAAAGAAGACAUUGUUGAAAAGAGCCUGGAGAAAGUCGAGGAGUCUUUUUUUAAGCGAUAGGUUUUAUGUAUACAUAUCCGUGUAUAUAUAUACAUAUAUAUAUGUACAUAUUC